GCACAGAUGAUGGAAAAAUAACUCUUUAGAAAAGAAUGACAUGAACAAAGGAACCACUGAUGUGC
ensembl:snoRNA SNORD42 Small nucleolar RNA SNORD42